rnacentral:rRNA from 1 species
GAUCCUGGCUCAGGAUGAACGCUGGCGGCGUGCUUAACACAUGCAAGUCGAACGGGAAAUACUUUAUUGAAACUUCGGUCGAUUUAAUUUAUUUCUAGUGGCGGACGGGUGAGUAACGCGUGGGUAACCUGCCUUAUACCGGGGGAUAACAGCCAGAAAUGACUGCUAAUACCGCAUAAGCGCACAGAACCGCAUGGUUCGGUGUGAAAAACUCCGGUGGUAUAAGAUGGACCCGCGUUGGAUUAGCUAGUUGGCAGGG